rnacentral:rRNA from 1 species
UUAAGCGACUAAGCGUACACGGUGGAUGCCCUGGCAGUCAGAGGCGAUGAAGGGCGUGCUAAUCUGCGAUAAGCGCCGGUAAGGUGAUAUGAACCGUUAUAACCGGCGAUACCCGAAUGGGGAAACCCAGUGUGAUUCGUCACACUAUCAUUAACUGAAUCCAUAGGUUAAUGAGGCGAACCGGGGGAACUGAAACAUCUAAGUACCCCGAGGAAAAGAAAUCAACCGAGAUUCCCCCAGUAGCGGCGAGCGAACGGGGAGGAGCCCAGAGCCUGAAUCAGCAUGUGUGUUAGUGGAAGCGUCUGGAAAGGCGCGCGAUACAGGGUGACAGCCCCGUACACAAAAGCGCAUGUGCUGUGAGCUCGAUGAGUAGGGCGGGACACGUGGUAUCCUGUCUGAAUAUGGGGGGACCAUCCUCCAAGGCUAAAUACUCCUGACUGACCGAUAGUGAACCAGUACCGUGAGGGAAAGGCGAAAAGAACCCCGGCGAGGGGAGUGAAAAAGAACCUGAAACCGUGUACGUACAAGCAGUGGGAGCACCCUUCGGGGUGUGACUGCGUACCUUUUGUAUAAUGGGUCAGCGACUUAUAUUCUGUAGCAAGGUUAACCGUAUAGGGGAGCCGGAGGGAAACCGAGUCUUAACCGGGCGUUAAGUUGCAGGGUAUAGACCCGAAACCCGGUGAUCUAGCCAUGGGCAGGUUGAAGGUUGGGUAACACUAACUGGAGGACCGAACCGACUAAUGUUGAAAAAUUAGCGGAUGACCUGUGGCUGGGGGUGAAAGGCCAAUCAAACCGGGAGAUAGCUGGUUCUCCCCGAAAGCUAUUUAGGUAGCGCCUCGUGAAUUCAUCUCCGGGGGUAGAGCACUGUUUCGGCUAGGGGGCCAUCCCGGCUUACCAACCCGAUGCAAACUGCGAAUACCGGAGAAUGUUAUCACGGGAGACACACGGCGGGUGCUAACGUCCGUCGUGAAGAGGGAAACAACCCAGACCGCCAGCUAAGGUCCCAAAGUCAUGGUUAAGUGGGAAACGAUGUGGGAAGGCCCAGACAGCCAGGAUGUUGGCUUAGAAGCAGCCAUCAUUUAAAGAAAGCGUAAUAGCUCACUGGUCGAGUCGGCCUGCGCGGAAGAUGUAACGGGGCUAAACCAUGCACCGAAGCUGCGGCAGCGAACGUAUCACCCAAGACAACUUUACGGAGUUGACGAUUGACGGAGCGAAGCGACGUCAAAGCGUUCAUUAAAGUCGAGUUGGCUUAGGGAUACGUUCGUUGGGUAGGGGAGCGUUCUGUAAGCCUGUGAAGGUGUGUCGUGAGGCAUGCUGGAGGUAUCAGAAGUGCGAAUGCUGACAUAAGUAACGAUAAAGCGGGUGAAAAGCCCGCUCGCCGGAAGACCAAGGGUUCCUGUCCAACGUUAAUCGGGGCAGGGUGAGUCGACCCCUAAGGCGAGGCCGAAAGGCGUAGUCGAUGGGAAACGGGUUAAUAUUCCCGUACUUGGUGUUACUGCGAAGGGGGGACGGAGAAGGCUAUGUUGGCCGGGCGACGGUUGUCCCGGUUUAAGCGUGUAGGUGUGUGUUCCAGGUAAAUCCGGUUCACUUUAACACUGAGGCGUGACGACGAGGCACUACGGUGCUGAAGCAACAAAUGCCCUGCUUCCAGGAAAAGCCUCUAAGCAUCAGGUAACACGAAAUCGUACCCCAAACCGACACAGGUGGUCAGGUAGAGAAUACCAAGGCGCUUGAGAGAACUCGGGUGAAGGAACUAGGCAAAAUGGUGCCGUAACUUCGGGAGAAGGCACGCUGACACGUAGGUGAAGUGAUUUACUCACGGAGCUGAAGUCAGUCGAAGAUACCAGCUGGCUGCAACUGUUUAUUAAAAACACAGCACUGUGCAAACACGAAAGUGGACGUAUACGGUGUGACGCCUGCCCGGUGCCGGAAGGUUAAUUGAUGGGGUCAGCGCAAGCGAAGCUCCUGAUCGAAGCCCCGGUAAACGGCGGCCGUAACUAUAACGGUCCUAAGGUAGCGAAAUUCCUUGUCGGGUAAGUUCCGACCUGCACGAAUGGCGUAAUGAUGGCCAGGCUGUCUCCACCCGAGACUCAGUGAAAUUGAACUCGCUGUGAAGAUGCAGUGUACCCGCGGCAAGACGGAAAGACCCCGUGAACCUUUACUAUAGCUUGACACUGAACAUUGAGCCUUGAUGUGUAGGAUAGGUGGGAGGCUUUGAAGUGUGGACGCCAGUCUGCAUGGAGCCGACCUUGAAAUACCACCCUUUAAUGUUUGAUGUUCUAACGUGGACCCGUAAUCCGGGUUGCGGACAGUGUCUGGUGGGUAGUUUGACUGGGGCGGUCUCCUCCUAAAGAGUAACGGAGGAGCACGAAGGUUGGCUAAUCCUGGUCGGACAUCAGGAGGUUAGUGCAAUGGCAUAAGCCAGCUUGACUGCGAGCGUGACGGCGCGAGCAGGUGCGAAAGCAGGUCAUAGUGAUCCGGUGGUUCUGAAUGGAAGGGCCAUCGCUCAACGGAUAAAAGGUACUCCGGGGAUAACAGGCUGAUACCGCCCAAGAGUUCAUAUCGACGGCGGUGUUUGGCACCUCGAUGUCGGCUCAUCACAUCCUGGGGCUGAAGUAGGUCCCAAGGGUAUGGCUGUUCGCCAUUUAAAGUGGUACGCGAGCUGGGUUUAGAACGUCGUGAGACAGUUCGGUCCCUAUCUGCCGUGGGCGCUGGAGAACUGAGGGGGGCUGCUCCUAGUACGAGAGGACCGGAGUGGACGCAUCACUGGUGUUCGGGUUGUCAUGCCAAUGGCACUGCCCGGUAGCUAAAUGCGGAAGAGAUAAGUGCUGAAAGCAUCUAAGCACGAAACUUGCCCCGAGAUGAGUUCUCCCUGAGACUUUAGGUCUCCUGAAGGAACGUUGAAGACGACGACGUUGAUAGGCCGGGUGUGUAAGCGCAGCGAUGCGUUGAGCUAACCGGUACUAAUGAACCGUGAGGCUUAACCUU